GACAGAGGUGCCGAGCGUUAGGCGGAAUCACUAGGCUUAAAGCGUGUGUAGGCGGAUCGUUAAGUACCUUGUGAAAUCCCACGGCUUAACCGUGGAACUGCUGGGUAUACUGGCGAUCUUGAGGUGCUCAGGGGCGAGCGGAACAGAUGGUGGAGCGGUGAAAUGCGUAGAUAUCAUCUGGAACGCCUGCGGUGAAAACGGCUCGCUGGGAGCAAUCUGACGCUGAGACACGAAAGCCAGGGGAGCGAACGGG
rnacentral:rRNA from 1 species